GGUAGGAUGGCUGAGUUUUAAGCGGUGGUUUGUAGCUCCAUGUACGGGGGUUUAAGUCCCCCUCCUGUCA